ACUCAGGCUGGCCCAAGACAGAAUAUGAAGCCAAAUGAGGAGUUCAACAACAAUUCCACGUUCAAACCAUUGUUCCCCACUGCACAUCCUUCACCAUAGCGAAAUUCUGCCACCACAUCGUCGCGCCGGAAAUCGCCUCUGAUGGCGAUAGAGGCUCAAAAUACAUGAAUCACACCUUAAAAUACUCAUCUCAAUAAGCUCCAUAGAAGCCCUAAACCAAUUCCAACUAAAUCCUUUUCCUAUGCUCAAAUCUAAAGGGUUAAGGGAAUAACCCUAACAUCCAAGUUCAACCAUACCAAGGUCUCAACACGGAAAUGGGAUGCAAACCCUAGGGAUUUGGUCCAUAUGGCAUAAAUAUACAUCUUAACAACAAUGAAUCGCGAAGAAGAAGACACAUAUGCGUGAGGUCUCAGAUGAAGUUAAUUGCACAAAAAUACUAUAGGCAAAUAUACCAGGUUUUGUAGUAGGGUUUUGCUCCUGGUUUGCAAGUUGGUCUACACUUGGUUGCAUUGUAGCAGGUUGUGGGCUUGGUCUGGUUUUGUAGGUCUAUGAGCAGGUUCACAAGCAGGCACACUUUCUCUGGUCUUGCAGGUCUAUAAGCAGGUUCACUUGGUCUGGUUUAUCUCCGGUUUGUGUUGUUGCAGGAUGCUCAGAAUUCGGCUUGGAAAUUGAAGUGCAUUGCUUGGAAUUACGGAGUUUUCACAUUGCUUUUGGUCAUGGAGUUUUUGAACAUUUGUAAUUGGUUUAAAUGGAUGUAAUUCUGUAUGUGGUUUAUGUCAUGUAGGAUAAGGCAUAUGCAUGGAUGGUUGUAUAUAAUUGAUGGAAUUGGAUUUUAUAAAUGGUUUAAAUUGUAAUUGAAAAGUAAUUUGAAAAAUGAAAUGGUAAUGACUUGUAAA